rnacentral:misc_RNA from 1 species
GAUGAAGAACGCAGCGAAAUGCGAUACGUAAUGUGAAUUGCAGAAUUCAGUGAAUCAUCGAGUCUUUGAACGCACAUUGCGCCCCCUGGUAUUCCGGGGGGCAUGCCUGUCCGAGCGUCAUUGCUGCCCUCAAGCACGGCUUGUGUGUUGGGCCUCCGUCCUCCUCCCGGGGGACGGGCCCGAAAGGCAGCGGCGGCACCGCGUCCGGUCCUCGAGCGUAUGGGGCUUCGUCACCCGCUCUUGUAGGCCCGGCCGCCGCUUGCCGACACAUCAAUCUUUUUUCCAGGUUGACCUCGGAUCAGGUAGGGAUACCCGCUGAACUUAAGCAUAUCAAUAAGCGGAGGA